rnacentral:rRNA from 1 species
GAGGGGCCUGCGGCCGAUUAGCUAGUCGGAGGGGUAACGGCCCACCGAGGCAACCAUCGGUAGCUGGUCUGAGAGGAUGAUCAGCCACACUGGGACUGAGACACGGCCCAGACUCCUACGGGAGGCAGCAGUAAGGGAUCUUCCGCAAUGGACGCAAGUCUGACGGAGCGACGCCGCGUGCGCGACGAAGCCCUUCGGGGUGUAAAGCGCUUUUCCCAGGGACGACCCAAGACGGUACCUGGGGAAGAAGCCUCGGCUAACUACGUGCCAGCAGCCGCGGUAAUACGUAGGAGGCAAGCGUUGUCCGGAAUCACUGGGCGUAAAGCGCGUGUAGGCGGAUGUCUAAGUCUGUCGUGAAAGCGCCUGGCUUAACCGGGCGAGGUCGAUGGAAACUAGGCGUCUAGAGGCCGGUAGAGGGGGGUGGAAUUCCGGGUGUAGUGGUGAAAUGCGUAGAGAUCCGGAGGAACACCAGUGGCGAAGGCGGCCCCCUGGGCCGCGCCUGACGCUGAGACGCGAAAGCGCGGGGAGCGAACGGGAUUAGAUACCCCGGUAGUCCGCGCAGUAAACGAUGUCCACUAGGUGU